UCCCACACAGGAGAUAAUGGAUGUCGG
rnacentral:piRNA from 1 species